CCUACGAGUGGCAGCAGUGGGGAAUAUUGGACAAUGGGGGGAACCCUGAUCCAGCCAUGCCGCGUGUGUGAAGAAGGCCCUCGGGUUGUAAAGCACUUUCAGUGAGGAAGAACGCCUGGUGGUUAAUACCCAUCAGGAAAGACAUCACUCACAGAAGAAGCACCGGCUAACUCCGUGCCAGCAGCCGCGGUAAUACGGAGGGUGCGAGCGUUAAUCGGAAUUACUGGGCGUAAAGCGCGCGUAGGUGGCUUGAUAAGCCGGUUGUGAAAGCCCCGGGCUCAACCUGGGAACGGCAUCCGGAACUGUCAAGCUAGAGUGCAGGAGAGGAAGGUAGAAUUCCCGGUGUAGCGGUGAAAUGCGUAGAGAUCGGGAGGAAUACCAGUGGCGAAGGCGGCCUUCUGGACUGACACUGACACUGAGGUGCGAAAGCGUGGGUAGCAAACAGGAUUAGAUACCCUAGUAGUC
rnacentral:rRNA from 1 species